rnacentral:rRNA from 1 species
CACGAACGCUGGCGGCAGGCUUAACACAUGCGAGUCGAGCGGAGAUGAGGUGCUUGCACCUUAUCUUAGCGGCGGACGGGUGAGUAAUGCUUAGGAAUCUGCCUAUUAGUGGGGGACAACAUUCCGAAAGGAAUGCUAAUACCGCAUACGUCCUACGGGAGACAGCAGGGGAUCUUCGGACCUUGCGCUAAGAGAUGAGCCUACGUCGGAUUAGCUAGUUGGUGGGGUAAAGGCCUACCAAGGCGACGAUCUGUAGCGGGUCUGAGAGGAUGAUCCGCCACACUGGGACUGAGACACGGCCCAGACUCCUACGGGAGGCAGCAGUGGGGAAUAUUGGACAAUGGGGGGAACCCUGAUCCAGCCAUGCCGCGUGUGUGAAGAAGGCCUUAUGGUUGUAAAGCACUUUAAGCGAGGAGGAGGCUACUGAGACUAAUACUCUUGGAUAGUGGACGUUACUCGCAGAAUAAGCACCGGCUAACUCUGUGCCAGCCGCCGCCGUAAGAC